UGAGGAAUAUUGGUCAAUGGGCGCAAGCCUGAACCAGCCACGUCGCGUGAAGGAAGACGGCCCUACGGGUUGUAAACUUCUUUUGUAAGGGAAUAAAGUGUAGUACGUGUACUAUUUUGCAUGUACCUUACGAAUAAGGAUCGGCUAACUCCGUGCCAGCAGCCGCGGUAAUACGGAGGAUCCGAGCGUUAUCCGGAUUUAUUGGGUUUAAAGGGUGCGCAGGCGGGAGAUUAAGUCGGCGGUGAAAUUUUGCAGCUUAACUGUAAAAGUGCCUUCGAAACUGGUUUCCUUGAGUGUAGAUGAAGUAGGCGGAAUUUGUGGUGUAGCGGUGAAAUGCAUAGAUAUCACGAGGAACUCCGAUUGCGCAGGCAGCUUACUAAACUACUACUGACGCUCAGGCACGAAGGCGUGGGGAUCAAACAGG
rnacentral:rRNA from 1 species